GUUGGCUUCAAACUUCUAAACCUUUCCAAAUUCUUCAUCAAUAUUCUUUGAUCUUCCUCCCCCAAAUUCUUUAUCCCAUGUUUGUCUCCCUUUCAUAAUUUAUGAGUUAUAUCUCCUCUUCAGGUAUAUCUAGGGCUGGGUUGUAUAUUUGUGUGAGUGAAAUUAUAAUUUCUAAGGUAUAUCGAGGGCUGGGUCGUAUAUCUCUGUGUGUGAAAUUAUAAUUUCUAAAUAGCUAAAUAUUAGGGGGAGGAAGAGAUAAAGAUUAGACUAAAAGAAAGUUGGCCGAGCACUUCUCCACUUCCCAAGUUUUGGGUGUAAUCAGAAGCACUGCUUCCUUUAAACUCAUCGCUCUUCUAAUUCCCACCAAAGAGAAUUACAGAAAGCUGAAAAAUGGAAAAAGAAACCGUCUUCUGGCGCUUACAUUUUUUCAGGAAUUUGGCUCCAAAAGAAUUUCAGGAUAACCACCAUAUACAUGAGAAAAUAAACGAAGAAGUUAUAUUGGAAAGUGAAGCAGAAUUUCUGCACCUGAGCAAGAAGACCAGAAUUUUGCAAAUCAAUGGCACCAGGAGGACGUAUCUUCAAACAAACUACACUUACAGGGGAAACUAUUCAAGCUACUCAAUCCCCGGAUGAAUCAAAUAACCUUACUCCCGCUGUUAAUACAGGUAAUACGUUUUAUUAUAUUAGUUAGAAUUAAAUUAUUUAGUUAUUUGCCAAGUUGGAAUAAAAAACAUUAACCUAUGAAACUUUCAUUUAUGUUAAACUUGUAAAGAAAGAGAUAGACAUUAGCUCAAUAUUUGAGGAUGGUGAGAGUGAUAUUGGGCAAACAAAGUAGUAGGAUAAAAGAAGUUGAUUCGGUUCACUCUAGUGAAAAUCAUUCAACCACGAAUGAUUGGAACGAUAAGUAAGUUAUUGAUAAGCAGGUUAUUGAUAAUUGAGAAACGAGGUUCGUUUACCUU